GAUCUGAACACUGAAGGGUUGGCAGGGGACCAGAGAAUAGAGGAAGCAUUGUAGGUUCUAGAGUGGAGAAGGGACCAUCCAAAAUGGAGUUUGAAAGAGAAUUCUGGCCUUUGUGUUUAGAGUCUGGAAUUGUUAAGAGUCUGAAGGCACAGAAUAAGACUGCAGCUAGAGCAAUUUAGGCGCCAUAGUUUGUCAAAACAGAGAUGGGAUCUCACUGUGCUGCCCAGGCUGGUCUCGAACUGCUGGACUCAAGUAAUCCUCCCAUCUUGGCCUCCCAAAGUGCUGGGAUUAUAGUGGACAACCUUGAAUGCACUGGUACUUUGUACCCUGACCUCUACUGUAAUGAAAACUCAACUUGGGCAAGGAAGUGAAAUUCUCCAAAGCAAGGAGGAGGGUGCUCUGAAUAGAUGGACUCUGAUUCUACUUACAAAACUGUGGGAAGAAACUGGAGCUUCCUCCCUCUCUGAGACAACGGUGCCACUGAGACUGCGUGAGAUGCGACGUAAGUUCUCUGCACUGUACUGCUCAUCCUCCCCACACUCCCUGCUGAGGCCUCGGCAAGGUGUAGCCUUCAAACACACAGACACAUACAGGCAGACACAUAAUACCAGACUUAUGGUUUUCCCACAGACAGUAUCCUCAGGGUAUGGGAAAAGAGUAGGGGAAGACUCAGUAGUAAUAGACACCUGAAUUAGAUGUAUUGGUAAGAUAGUGGCCAUGUAACAAUCUCCUCUAAUACAAAAGAAGCCCAAUCAUAGACCUUAUUUUCUUCUGAUAGCUCCAUAUCACCAUGCCUCUGCCUUAUCAUCAUCCCUACCUGUCACAUCUCUCCAUAAUUCCUUCCCCAACACACCACCCCAGGCCUAGCACCUUAGCACCUGAGGCUGCUACCUGAGAAGUACGCACUGUUCUGGCUUCAUGGAGACCAUGCUCCAUUUCUGCUGUUGGAGUCUUUGAGAGACCAGGAUCAUGGGCUGAGUGCAACCUCCUCCCCAUGCCAUCUGCAGAGCCUGAAGAGGAAAACACAAAUACAAGUUGAGGCCAUCUCUUCCCCUAGGGCCUAACCUCUAAGCCUAGCAGCACAAACUCAGGAGCUGUUGUUUCAUUAAAUAAUAAAUAUGCAUCCCUGAAUUCAACGGAGGAACAUGCUCCUGGAAUUUAGAAACAAGAGAGGUGGGCACGGUGGCUCACACCUGUAAUCCCAGCACUUUGGGAGGCCAACACGGGCAGAUCACGAGGUCAGGAGAUCGAGACCACCCUGGCUAACACGGUAAAACACUGUCUCUACUAAAAAUACAAAAAAUUAGCCGGGCGUGGUGGCAGGUCCCUGUAAUCCCAGCUACUUGGGAGGCUGAGGCAGGAGAAUGGUGUGAACCCGGGAGGCGUAGCUUGCAGUGAGCGGAGAUCGCGCCACUGCACUCCAGCCUGGGUGACAGAGCGAGACUCCGUCUCAAAAAAAAAAAAAGAAACAAGAAUUUUAGAAUAUGGAUAGUUUACUGAAUGUCCCCAUCUUGCUUCAUUUCAUUUUUGUAAACAUAAUCAGCUUCUGUCAGACGUAGGCUCAAGACUUAUAGACAGAGGAAAGUAUCUAACAGUGAUUUUUUUUUUCUAACACAGUGAUUUUCUAAAGUAUCUGUGGUGACAAAGGAAAUUAUCUCCAGUCUAGUUCAGAAUAGAAAUGAUCAUAAUAAUCAUCUAUCAAACCUCCUCAGUUUAUAUAACAGGAAAAUGAGUUCCAGGGUCUGAGAGUUUCGUAGUUUAACCAGGAUUAAAAUUAAAUCCUCUUGAUUUUCAGUACAGUACUCUUACCAUCUCACCUGGUGACCUCUUGUACUCUGAGAGCAGGAGCUCCUCAGGAAUGUUUUACAUAUGUAAUGCUCUUUUCCCCUUAGCUUCUCUCAAAUCAUUUAAAUUUCUAAACAACCACUAAAUGCUUACCUCUCUUCAAAAUCUUUCUAGAUUGUUCAGAGUUGCUCUAAACUGGAUUGGUGACUCCCAAGGGGCUAUCCCCAAUCCAACUAAUUAAGUUUUCCAUUCUGAAACUGUAUAUGCCCUGACCUACAUUUGAUACAUAUGUCCAUGGCCAAUUUAUGUCUUGAUUUGAUGAUUUUAUUCAUAUAUAUAUAUAUAUAUAUAUAUAUAUAUAUCUGGCUGAAGCUGAUAUUAUUCAUGUAAGUAUUGUAAGACAAGUUAUUUUCAGUAUUCCUGGGUACUUAAAGGCAGUGCUUUCAAUACCACUUCAGAUUCAUCUGGGAACUUUUAAAAAUAUAGCUUCCUGGAUGUUACCACAGACCUGAAUCAGAAGGUUUGUGGUUGGCGCCUGGGAAUUUUCAUUUUUGAAAGGUUCCCAAAAAGUCUAAGAAAAUAUCCUUGAACAUUAUUGGGGGAAAUGUGAAAUGUUACAGUCUUCCUAAAAAGCAACCUGGUAAUCUCCAAUAAAAUAAAAAAUAUAUUUAUCCUGUUGCCCAACGAUUCUAAUCCUGAGAAGAAAAAAAUACCAGUUCAUAACAUAUAUAUAAGAAUAUUUUCUACUGACAUAAUUUAUAGUAGCCAAGAACCAGAAAUAAAGUAAUGCCCAUCUAUAGAAGAAUAAAUACAUUAUGGUUUAAUACCAAAUAUUGUCCAGCCACUUAAAAAGACUGAACUGAGUUAAACCAGAUGAUCUGAAGGAAUUUUAAUGAAACACUGUUGCAUUAAAAGGAAAAAAAUCUGUAAAAUGAUAUACAAGCAAAAAAAACCACUGUUUAUGUAUAUGUAGGUCUACAUAGGGUUGUAUAAACAGAAAAUACAAUGUAUGCACACUAGAUAGUUACCUGUGGAAGUAGGGACUGGCUGUGAGAGAAGAGACAGGAAAAUUAUCUAUAAUAAAAACAGCAUGUGUGUUAUGUUCUUAUUUCUAUAAAAUUA
rnacentral:antisense_RNA from 1 species